AGUGCAUUUGCGAGUAAUGUGCGCUGCGGCGUGUGGUUAGGUCAUCUGAUGUGCGAUUAGAGGACUCCUUUUGGAGAAACCUGGUUGCACGGAUGUUGAUUCGAACUGCAUGUUGAGGAACUGGCCAACGUGCGGGGUGGUUGCUAAGGUCGUUCCUUGCGUAAAUCGCAUGCGAUUUGCGCUUGUGGAUAGCCUUGGUAGUUGCUUCGUAAACUGUUCCGACCGCAGUGUCAAAGGUGCUCAUCUUUCCGACCCGUCUUGAAACACGGACCAAGGAGUAUACAGUAUGUGCGAGUCAUUGAGUUCUAAACUCAAAGGCGUAAUGAAAGUAAAGAUUCCGUAAGGUUUUGAUAUGCGAUCUUGGUUGCUUCGGUAGCUGAGAGCAGCAUAGCCCCGUCUUGACCGCUUGCGGUAGGGCGGAGGUAGAGCUCCUAGUACCUUGAGGGAAAGAUGGUGAACUAUGCUUGAACAGGAUGAAG
rnacentral:rRNA from 1 species